rnacentral:rRNA from 1 species
CGUAAACAAAGGGAAGCGAAGCCGUGAGGUGGAGCGAAUCCCAGAAAUAACGUCUCAGUUCGGAUUGUAGUCUGCAACUCGACUACAUGAAGCUGGAAUCGCUAGUAAUCGCGAAUCAGAAUGUCGCGGUGAAUACGUUCCCGGGUCUUGUACACACCGCCCGUCACACCAUGGGAGUCAGUAACGCCCGAAGUCAGUGACCCAACCGGAACCGGAGGGAGCUGCCGAAGGUGGGACCGAUAACUGGGGUGAAGUCGUAACAAGGUACC